rnacentral:rRNA from 1 species
AUACGGAGGGUGCAAGCGUUACUCGGAAUCACUGGGCGUAAAGCGCGCGCAGGCGGCUAUUUAAGUUGGAUGUGAAAGCCUACGGCUCAACCGUAGAACUGCAUCCAAAACUAUUUAGCUAGAGUGUGGGAGAGGAAGAUGGAAUUAGUUGUGUAGGGGUAAAAUCCGUAGAGAUAACUAGGAAUACCAAAAGCGAAGGCAAUCUUCUGGAACACUCCUGACGCUGAGGCGCGAAAGCGUGGGGAGCAAACGGGAUUAGAAACCCUAGUAGUCC